AAAAGGUCGUAUUUUAUUUCAAGAGGAAUUAAUUGCUGCCUACAUGGAACAAGUUAAGCAAGACAUUCAGAGAUAGAUUACAACUGGAGAUGAUAUUUCAAUGGGAGAUAACAAUUUUGAAGACUCCCAAAGUAUCAAUAGUGUUAACUCUGAAGAAUUAGCUGAGAUUGUUAGAAAAGCAGAAGAAGAAGUUUUACAUCAAAAAUAAUGAGAUUCCUGACAAAAGAUGGUGGUGGG
rnacentral:lncRNA from 1 species